AGGAUGAAUGCUGGCGGCGCGCCUAACACAUGCAAGUCGAGCGGAAAGGCCCUUCGGGGUACUCGAGCGGCGGACGGCUGAGUAACGCGUGGGAACAUGCCCCAAAGUGAGGAAUAACUGCCCGAAAGGGUAGCUAAUGCCGCAUAUGAUCUUAGGAUUAAAGGAUUUAUCCGCUUUGGGAGUGGCCCCGCGUACGAUUAGGUAGUUGGUGAGGUAAAGGCUCACCAAGCCCACGAUCGUUAACUGGUCUGAGAGGAUGAUCAGUCAGACUGGAACUGAGACACGGUCCAGACUCCUACGGGAGGCAGCAGUGAGGAAUCUUCCACAAUGGGC
rnacentral:rRNA from 1 species